GCAAGAGUGACCCUGUACACAAACUAGCACCAAUUUAAAUUUGAAGAAUAAGGUGCUUACAAGAAUUCAGAGAGAAUAUUCCCAACCUUCUCUGGUUAGUCAAAUAUGUGUGGCCACAAAGGAAUCUCACAUGAUAUGGCAAACAGGAAUAAGGACCGAAUGAAUGGAAUUUACUGAGUGUAACAUAAUAAAUUGUAAUUGUACUCAUUCACAAUGAAUAAAACAAGUAUUUACUGGAAAAGAUAAACUCUAGUGGAUGCAAUGUUAAUUGUACAAUCAAAAUCCAAUAAUUGCAUCCUCAUCCAAACUAAUAGCAAACUUCAGCAUCUUACCUUCUGCGCCUUACAUCAUCUUUCCUCAUGAUGUUCAGGCAAUCAAAAUGCCAAUAAGCAACUUUAACUGGAAUCGACAUGGAC
rnacentral:misc_RNA from 1 species